CGCGGCCUAUCAGCUUGUUGGUGGGGUAACGGCCCACCAAGGCAUCGACGGGUAGCUGGUCUGAGAGGACGAUCAGCCACACUGGGACUGAGACACGGCCCAGACUCCUACGGGAGGCAGCAGUGGGGAAUAUUGCGCAAUGGGCGAAAGCCUGACGCAGCAACGCCGCGUGGGGGAUGACGGCCUUCGGGUUGUAAACCCCUUUCAGCAGGGACGAAAAUGACGGUACCUGCAGAAGAAGCCCCGGCCAACUACGUGCCAGCAGCCGCGGUAACACGUAGGGGGCGAGCGUUGUCCGGAUUUAUUGGGCGUAAAGAGCUCGUAGGCGGUUGCGUAAGUCGGAUGUGAAAACUCAGGGCUCAACCCGGAGACGCCAUCCGAUACUGCGCUGACUAGAGUCCGGUAGGGGAGCAUGGAAUUCCUGGUGUAGCGGUGAAAUGCGCAGAUAUCAGGAGGAACACCAGUGGCGAAGGCGGUGCUCUGGGCCGGUACUGACGCUGAGGAGCGAAAGCGUGGGUAGCGAACAGGAUUAGAUACCCUGGUAGUCCACGCCGUAAACGUUGGGCACUAGGUGUGGGGCCUACUUAACGGGUUCCGUGCCGUAGCUAACGCAUUAAGUGCCCCGCCUGGGGAGUACGG
rnacentral:rRNA from 2 species